UCAGGCUCGUGCCGUGAGGUGUCGGCUUAAGUGCCAUAACGAGCGCAACCCUCAUCAUUAGUUACCAUCAGGUAAGGCUGGGGACUCUAAUGAGACUGCCAUCGUAAGAUGUGAGGAAGGUGGGGAUGACGUCAAAUCAGCACGGCCCUUACGUCCGGGGCGACACACGUGUUACAAUGGGUGGUACAAAGGGCAGCUACCUGGCGACAGGAUGCUAAUCUCGAAAACCGCUCUCAGUUCGGAUCGGAGUCUGCAACUCGACUCCGUGAAGCUGGAUUCGCUAGUAAUCGCGCAUCAGCCACGGCGCGGUGAAUACGUUCCCGGGCCUU
rnacentral:rRNA from 1 species